CAACUGGUUGUUGGACGGCUUGCUGUUCAGUAACGAAGCUAACGCGUGAAGUUGACCGCCUGGGGAGUACGGCCGCAAGGUUGAAACUCAAAGGAAUUGACGGGGGCCCGCACAAGCGGUGGAUGAUGUGGUUUAAUUCGAUGCAACGCGAAAAACCUUACCUACCCUUGACAUGUCAAGAAUUCUGCAGAGAUGUGGAAGUGCUCGAAAGAGAACUUGAACACAGGUGCUGCAUGGCCGUCGUCAGCUCGUGUCGUGAGAUGUUGGGUUAAGUCCCGCAACGAGCGCAACCCUUGUCAUUAGUUGCUACGAAAGGGCACUCUAAUGAGACUGCCGGUGACAAACCGGAGGAAGGUGGGGAUGACGUCAGGUCCUCAUGGCCCUUAUGGGUAGGGCUACACACGUCAUACAAUGGCCGGUACAGAGGGCUGCCAACCCGCGAGGGGGAGCCAAUCCCAGAAAACCGGUCGUAGUCCGGAUCGCAGUCUGCAACUCGACUGCGUGAAGUCGGAAUCGCUAGUAAUCGCGGAUCAGCUUGCCGCGGUGAAUACGUUCCCGGGUCUUGUACACACCGCCCGUCACACCAUGGGAGCGGGUUCUGCCAGAAGUAGUUAGCCUAACCGCAAGGAGGGCGAUACCACGGGAGCUC
rnacentral:rRNA from 1 species